rnacentral:rRNA from 1 species
CCCGCUCAGAAACUCAAUGAAUUGACGGGGCCCGCACAAGCGGUGGAGCAUGUGGUUUAAUUCGAUGAUACGCGAGGAACCUUACCUGGGCUCAAAUGUAUGUUGACGUAUUCUGAAAGGGAUACUUCUUCGGACAAUAUACAAGGUGCUGCAUGGUUGUCGUCAGCUCGUGCCGUGAGGUGUCGGGUUAAGUCCCAUAACGAGCGCAACCCCUAUCAUUAGUUGCCAUCAGGUCAAGCUGGGGACUCUAAUGAAACUGCCUACGCAAGUAGUGAGGAAGGUGGGGAUGACGUCAAAUCAGCACGGCCCUUACGUCCAGGGCUACACACGUGCUACAAUGGCCGGUACAAAGGGCAGCUACCUGGUGACAGGAUGCUAAUCUCAAAAGCCGGUCUCAGUUCGGAUCGGAGUCUGCAACCCGACUCCGUGAAGCUGGAUUCGCUAGUAAUCGCGCAUCAGCCACGGCGCGGUGAAUACGUUCCCGGGCCUU